ACCUCAGGUCAGGCGGGGCUACCCGCUGAGUUUAAGCAUAUCAAUAAGC
rnacentral:rRNA from 1 species